AUUAAACGCUGGCGGCAUGCCUUACACAUGCAAGUCGAACGGCAGCACGGGGGCAACCCUGGUGGCGAGUGGCGGACGGGUGAGUAAAGCAUCGGAACGUAUCCUGGAGUGGGGGAUAGCGUAGCGAAAGUUACGCUAAUACCGCAUAUUCUGUGAGCAGGAAAGCAGGGGAUCGCAAGACCUUGCGCUCUGGGAGCGGCCGAUGUCGGAUUAGCUAGUUGGUGGGGUAAAGGCCUACCAAGGCGACGAUCCGUAGCGGGUCUGAGAGGAUGAUCCGCCACACUGGGACUGAGACACGGCCCAGACUCCUACGGGAGGCAGCAGUGGGGAAUUUUGGACAAUGGGCGCAAGCCUGAUCCAGCCAUGCCGCGUGAGUGAAGAAGGCCUUCGGGUUGUAAAGCUCUUUCGGCGGGGAAGAAAUUGCACGGGUUAAUACCCUGUGUAGAUGACGGUACCCGAAUAAGAAGCACCGGCUAACUACGUG
rnacentral:rRNA from 1 species